CUGGGUGUGAUGAGUUGGCAGUGUAUUGUUAGCUGGUUGGAUAUGUGAAUAGCAUCAGCUAACAUGCAACUGCUUGCUUAUUGCAUCUACG
rnacentral:pre_miRNA from 10 species